CGUAGGGUGCGAGCGUUAAUCGGAAUUACUGGGCGUAAAGUGUGCGCAGGCGGCAGAGCAAGUCGAGUGUGAAAGCCCCGGGCUUAACUUGGGAAUUGCGCUCGAAACUACUUUGCUGGAGUGUGGCAGAGGAAGGUGGAAUUCCACGUGUAGCGGUGAAAUGCGUAGAGAUGUGGAGGAACACCAAUGGCGAAGGCAGCCUUCUGGGCCAACACUGACGCUCAUGCACGAAAGCGUGGGGGAGCAAACAGGAUUAGAUACCCUGGUAGUCCACGCCCUAAACGAUGACGACUAGUUGUUGGAGGAGUUAAAUCCUUUAGUAACGCAGCUAACGCGCGAAGUCGUCCGCCUGGGGAGUACGGUCGCAAGAUUA
rnacentral:rRNA from 1 species